rnacentral:rRNA from 1 species
ACUAUCCUACUUGGAUAACUGUGGUAAUUCUAGAGCUAAUACACGCACCAAGCUCUGACCGCAAGGGAUGAGCGCAUUUAUUAGAACAAAAACCAAUCAGGCUUUGCCUGUUAUUGGUGGAUCUGAAUAACUCAGCUGAUCGCACGGUCUCGCACCGGCGACGCAUCUUCCAAGUGUCUGCCUUAUCAACUUUUGAUGGUAGUUUAUGCGACUACCAUGGUUGUAACGGGUAACGGAGAAUAAGGGUUCGACUCCGGAGAGGGAGCCUGAGAAACGGCUACCACAUCCAAGGAAGGCAGCAGGCGCGCAAAUUACCCAAUCUCAGAACGAGGAGGUAGUGACGAAAAAUAACGAGACGGUUCUCUUUGAGGCCCGUUAUCGGAAUGAGUACAAUUCAAACCCUUUAACGAGGAUCUACGAGAGGGCAAGUCUGGUGCCAGCAGCCGCGGUAAUUCCAGCUCUCGAAGUGUAUAUCAUUGUUGUUGCGGUUAAAAAGCUCGUAGUUGGAUCUGCGUCUUUGGAGCCGGUCUUCCCAACGGGAUAGCACUGGUCUCCUGGACUAAAAUGGCUGGUUGUGCCUUGGUGCUCUUCACCGGGUGCCUUGGCUGACUAGCAAGUUUACUUUGAAAAAAUUAGAGUGCUCAAAACAAGCGUUUGCUUGAAUACUGGUGCAUGGAAUAAUGGAAUAGGAUCUCGGUUCUAUUUUGUUGGUUUUCGGAACAUGAGAUAAUGAUUAAGAGGAACAGACGGGGGCAUUCGUAUUGCAGCGCUAGAGGUGAAAUUCUUGGACCGCUGCAAGACGAACAACUGCGAAGGCAUUUGCCAAGAAUGUUCAUAAUCAAGAACGA